rnacentral:rRNA from 1 species
GAUGAACGCUGGCGGCGUGCCUAAUACAUGCAAGUCGAGCGAACAGACGAGGAGCUUGCUCCUCUGACGUUAGCGGCGGACGGGUGAGUAACACGUGUAUCACCUACCUAUAAGACUGGGAUAACUUCGGGAAACCGGAGCUAAUACCGGAUAAUAUAUUGAACCGCAUGGUUCAAUAGUGAAAGACGGUUUUGCUGUCUCUUAUCGAUGGUUCCGCGCCGCAUUAGCUAGUUGUUAAGGUAACGGCUUACCACGGCAACGAUGCGUAGCCGACCGGAGAGGGUGAUCGGCCACACUGGAACUGAGACACGGUCCAGACUCCUACGGGAGGCAGCAGUAGGGAAUCUUCCGCAAUGGGCGAAAGCUUGACGGAGCAACGCCGCGUGAGUGAUGAAGGUCUUCGGAUCGUAAAACUCUGUUAUUAGGGAAGAACAAAUGUGUAAGUAACUAUGCACGUCUUGACGGUACCUAAUCAGAAAGCCACGGCUAACUACGUG